rnacentral:rRNA from 1 species
AAAUAAACUAGCAUAAAGUGUGUGAAGUAUAGAUUAGAAUUCUUGAAAAACUUAAUUGUAUGGCGGCGAGAGAAACAAACAAAGAAGUAUGCCAAUAAUCGAAAUUGCGCGAUUUAUCUAGCUAAGGUUUGAAAAAUUUCAUUUUACACACAGCCGUCGGAAGAACAAAGUUAACAUUUUAUUCUUCGCCUUAAAAAAUUUAUAAAGGAAUAAGUCAGGUCAAUGUGUAGAUUAUAUCUUAGUAAAAGAGUGUACCUCAUUAUAACUUAUUAAAUGUUCUUAUAGAAUCAAAUAUUUUAUUUGUUUAAAUACUUUAUAGAUAAUUGAAUCUGUCAGUAAGUUUUAUGUUCAGAAUACAAAACUGAMUCUUAUAAUCUCUUGUGC